UCCUGGUUAACCCAGGCAGUCUCAUUAGAGUUCCCAUCCGAAAUGUUGGCAACUAAUGACGAGGGUUGCGCUCGUUGCGGGACUUAACCCAACACCUCACGGCACGAGCUGACGACAGCCAUGCAGCACCUGUGAUGCGGCUCAUACGAGAAGCUACAUUUCUGUAGCGGUCCACAUCAUGUCAAGUCUGGGUAAGGUUCUUCGCGUAGCAUCGAAUUAAACCACAUGCUCCACUGCUUGUGCGGGUCCCCGUCAAUUCUUUUGAGUUUCACCCUUGCGAGCGUACUCCCCAGGCGGUAUACUUAACACGUUAGCUCCGGCGCCGACGGGGUUGAGACCAUCGACACCAAGUAUACAUCGUUUACGGCAAGGACUAC
rnacentral:misc_RNA from 1 species